rnacentral:tRNA from 1 species
AAGAUUUUAUGUUAUUUAAACAAUUAAUUUUCAAAGUUAAAAAUAUUAAAAAUUUAAUAAAUCUU